ACGUAGGAGGCGAGCGUUAUCCGGAUUUACUGGGCGUAAAGGGCGUGCAGGCGGUUGGCUAAGCUCGUUGUGAAAGCGCUCGGCUUAACUGAGCGAGGCCACUGGAAACCGCCCAACUGGAGUCGCGCAGAGGGCACUGGAAUUCCCGGUGUAGUGGUGGAAUGCGUAGAGAUCGGGAGGAACACCAGAGGCGCAAGCGGGUGCCUGGGCGACGACUGACACUGAGGGACGAAAGCGUGGGGAGCGAACAG
rnacentral:rRNA from 1 species